UACCUGAAGGUAGCAGGGAGAUGAGUGUGUGGCCAGAACGUUGAUGAUACUACCAGCCUUUUUGAGGCUGCGACUACGAUAAAUCUCCUCGAUGGAAGAAAGGCCAGAGCCGAUGAUGUACUGGGCAGUGUUUGCUACUUUGUGUAG